GGAGGAGCCAGCCGACAGGUGGCGCCGGCCUCGGUCUUGAAAACCGUUGGGGUGCGCGAGCAUCCGUGUGGGUUCGACCCCCACUUCCUCCGCCA
rnacentral:tRNA from 1 species